rnacentral:lncRNA from 1 species
UUCUUUUCUAUCUUUGUGACCCUAGAGAGCUUGAGAAUUCCCAUGUUUUGCUCACAGCAUACCAGAGUGUAGCAUGGGGGAGAUUCAUGUCCUUUUAUUGAUGAAGAAUGGCUUGUAAAUGUAACAUGCCACCACUGGGACAUGUCUGUGGUUGAGAGGAGGAAACCCUGUCUCAGAGCACUGCAGGCAUUGUCUAAAGAAGCCCCAAAUUUCUGUAAAAACAACCUAAACAUUCAAAGAAAGUUCUUUGGAAAGUAAAGAGUAAAGCAGAUGUCUCGGGGCUGGAGCCUGCAGCCGAGCCUGCUGCGUGUUAACCAUCACGGGCCGGGCUGCCGCAUUUAACACAAUUCGAGAGCAGCAAGGCAAAAAGAAAAGCUGGGAGCAAAGGGAAGCAGUAAGGACAGACUCCAGUCCACCCUGCUCGCUGCACAAGCCUCCCCAACCCCCCGAGAUCAAACACACUCAAUAGAUACUUACAGCCCAUUCGAUAGCGCUGAUCCCGCGUCCCCGCGGUGCCGUGUGUGCCCCGGGCUGCCAAGCAGGCACAUCUGGAUGUGGUUAUGAGAGACAUCGCUCGGCUCUCAGCUCAGCCUGCCAGCGGAGCCCGGGACACGCUGGGGGCGCCGAGCAGCGCCGGGGCCGGGGCCGCUCCCGCAGCAGCGAGCGGAGCUGCCGGGCCGGGGCUGGGAUCGGGCCGGGGCUGCGGCUGCGGCGGGGCCGGGAACGGGGCUGGGCUCGGAGCUGGGGCUGGGACCGGGAGCAGGGCUGGGAUCGGGACUGGAAUCGGAGCCGGGAUCGUGGCUGGGAUAGGGCCGGGAUCGUGGCGGCCCCGAGAGCAGCCCCGACCCCGCAGCGAGCCGAGCCCGGCGAUCGCGGCAGAGCCGGGUCCCGGCCAAGGCCGACACGUGAUGGGCCCGGGAGCGCCGAUGGCUCCGGCGGGACAGGGCGGAGGUGUCCAGAGGGAGAACGCUCAGCCAGGUAGGACCAGCCUUGGAAUGUCAGGAGAAAUGUGUGACUUUGGGCAGAGCCCUGCUGGGCAGCCACCCUCAGGCUGGAUGCUGCUCUGGAGCUGGUGAUCACCAAACGUGGCCAAAACUUCAGUGACCCCUCUCUUACUACUGCAGGUCAGCUAUGCCAAAACAAAUAAUUCAAAUUCUCCUUUGGAUGGAACUUUUAUUCCUUCUGGCAGACUGAAUGGAGGCUCCUUCAAACCUGAAACAUGGUUAAAAUGACAAAAACAAUCUGUACCAGAAAAAAAAGCCCUCUUGGAUCUCUUCCU